rnacentral:tRNA from 1 species
GGUGGUGUAACUCAGUGGUAAAGUGCAUGCUUUGCAUGUGUAAGGCCAUGGGUUCCAUCCCUCACACCUCCA